CUUUGCUGACGAGUGGCGGACGGGUGAGUAAUGUCUGGGAAACUGCCUGAUGGAGGGGGAUAACUACUGGAAACGGUAGCUAAUACCGCAUAACGUCGCAAGACCAAAGAGGGGGACCUUCGGGCCUCUUGCCAUCGGAUGUGCCCAGAUGGGAUUAGCUAGUAGGUGGGGUAACGGCUCACCUAGGCGACGAUCCCUAGCUGGUCUGAGAGGAUGACCAGCCACACUGGAACUGAGACACGGUCCAGACUCCUACGGGAGGCAGCAGUGGGGAAUAUUGCACAAUGGGCGCAAGCCUGAUGCAGCCAUGCCGCGUGUAUGAAGAAGGCCUUCGGGUUGUAAAGUACUUUCAGCGGGGAGGAAGGUGUUGAGGUUAAUAACCUCAUCAAUUGACGUUACCCGCAGAAGAAGCACCGGCUAACUCCGUGCCAGCAGCCGCGGUAAUACGGAGGGUGCAAGCGUUAAUCGGAAUUACUGGGCGUAAAGCGCACGCAGGCGGUCUGUCAAGUCAGAUGUGAAAUCCCCGGGCUCAACCUGGGGAACUGCAUUCGAAACUGGCAGGCUAGAGUCUUGUAGAGGGGGGGUAGAAUU
rnacentral:rRNA from 1 species